CAAAAUUAAUUAAUAUAAAGGUAUAUUAUAUAUAAAGGUCAAAUUCAACUAGCUUACUACAUUGCUUUUCUUGCAGGAUGAUGUUCAACUUUGGCUCUCCUAUGUGGUUUUUUGUAAGAAGUGGGCUACUAAAACUCAACUUAGCAAGGUAUUCUCUGCCAUGUUGGCCAUUCAUUCCAACAAGCCAGCUUUGUGGAUUAUGGCAGCCAAAUGGGAAAUGGAAGAUCGAUUGUCUUCAGAAAGUGCAAGGCAACUGUUUCUUCGGGCACUGCGCUUUCAUCCAGAGUGCUCAAAACUUUAUCAAGAAGAGAAUCCUGAUUAUUCUGAAGAAAUUCUUAAGGGCGAAUUGGCACGGAUCAUCUACAAAAAUUCUGUAAGCAUAAUUAAAGGUGCAGAAUUUCACGUGUCACUGCUUUCAAUUGCACAGCUAUUUGACUUUGCCAAAGAUCUACAAAAAGAAAUUUAUGAUGAGUAAGUAAAGUUAGUAGAAAGGUGAAUAUAUCCAUUUCUC
rnacentral:lncRNA from 1 species